AGCGAACGCUGGCGGAAGGAAGAACACAUGCAAGUCGAACGAACCUUUCGGGGUUAGUGGCGGAAGGGUGAGUAACACGUGGGAACGUGCCUUUAGGUUCGGAAUAACUCAGGGAAACUUGUGCUAAUACCGAAUGUGCCCUUCGGGGGAAAGAUUAAUCGCCUUUAGAGCGGCCCGCGUCGGAUUAGCUAGUUGGUUGAGGUAAUGGCUCACCAAGGCGACGAUCAGUAGCUGGUCUGAGAGGAUGAUCAGCCACAUUGGGACUGAGACACGGCCCAAACUCCUACGGGAGGCAGCAGUGGGGAAUCUUGCGCAAUGGGCGAAAGCCUGACGCAGCCAUGCCGCGUGAAUUAUGAAGGUCUUAGGAUUGUAAAAUUCUUUCACCGGGGACGAUAAUGACGGUACCCGGAGAAGAAGCCCCGGCUAACUUCGUG
rnacentral:rRNA from 1 species